GCAAUAUAUAUUAGAAUUUUUAUAAAUAUGGUCCAAUUAAUCAUAUUUAAAUUUAAAUUUAUUAUAAAUAAAUUUUAAUAGAUAUAGAACUAUUUAAUAUAGUAUAUCUUAUCCUUCUCCUAUUUAUUUAAACUAAAUAGAACCCUAAUAAGAUUUUGAAAGAAUGUCGAUCUGAACUCUAUAUAAUGAGGGUAUUGGUGCUGCCACUUUCUUAUGUGCAUUCUCUUAAUGAGUUUCUAUCGAUUUUACAUUAUACGGGAGAGUGCAUAAGAAAUGAGGAGAAAUCAAAUCAUCAAAGUUUGAUUGGUGACGUCCAAAUUAUAGUCAGACUUUUCGCUUUCGCAGAUUGAUCAAGAAUUUCUUCACUAUGGCAUUCUUUGAGUUUUUUUCUUUUAUUUAUGAUCCUAAAUUUUGGUAUAUAUUUAUUUUUAUUGGCGUUUUAUAUAGUGAUAAAGAUCUAUCAAUAUAAACUAGACAAAAUUGUAUAAAACUUAUCUG
rnacentral:lncRNA from 1 species